rnacentral:rRNA from 1 species
CAGCAGCCGCGGUAAUACAGAGGGUGCGAGCGUUAAUCGGAUUUACUGGGCGUAAAGCGUGCGUAGGCGGCUUCUUAAGUCGGAUGUGAAAUCCCUGAGCUUAACUUAGGAAUUGCAUUCGAUACUGGGAAGCUAGAGUAUGGGAGAGGAUGGUAGAAUUCCAGGUGUAGCGGUGAAAUGCGUAGAGAUCUGGAUGAAUACCGAUGGCGAAGGCAGCCAUCUGGCCUAAUACUGACGCUGAGGUACGAAAGCAUGGGGAGCAAACAGGAUUAGAUACCCCUGUAGUCCCUGUCUCUUAUAC